rnacentral:rRNA from 1 species
GUACACUCCUGCGGGAGGCAGCAGUGGGGAAUUUUGGACAAUGGGGGCAACCCUGAUCCAGCAAUGCCGCGUGAGUGAAGAAGGCCUUCGGGUUGUAAAGCUCUUUUGUCAGGGAAGAAACGGUGGUGGCGAAUAACUACUACUAAUGACGGUACCUGAAGAAUAAGCACCGGCUAACUACGUGCCAGCAGCCGCGGUAAUACGUAGGGUGCAAGCGUUAAUCGGAAUUACUGGGCGUAAAGCGUGCGCAGGCGGUUGUGUAAGUCAGAUGUGAAAUCCCCGGGCUCAACCUGGGAAUUGCAUUUGAGACUGCACGGCUAGAGUGUGUCAGAGGGGGGUAGAAUUCCACGUGUAGCAGUGAAAUGCGUAGAUAUGUGGAGGAAGACCGAUGGCGAAGGCAGCCCCCUGGGAUAACACUGACGCUCAUGCACGAAAGCGUGGGGAGCAAACAGGAUUAGAAACCCGGGUAGUCC